UGGUUUUUGCCACUUAAGACUUUUUUUGCUGUGUGCUGAACAUGCCCAGUGGUGAGUUAGGUGGCCCCUGGACACCGCUGACCAGAACAGCUCUGACGCACUAAUCUGGGCAAAAGGACGGUCAGUGUUUCAGAUGGUUAGUUUUGCUUUUAUCAUACAUUCUUUUGUCAGCCGUGACUUGGAAGCUGCAGCCCCCUGUCAGGCGUGCAAGUCCCAGUGACAGCACUGAACUUACGGGAAAAGAGGGUCCAGUGUGAGACAAUACAGUCUGUGACUAGUGAUGCUCCGGGCUGCCCAGUGAUGGCAAAACAAGACAUCCGCUUUUUAUUCAUUUGGGGAGACUCAUUUCAUCUGAGCCUUCUAGCAUCAAUGGCUGCUUUGUACCUAGAGAGGCUCCUGGAGGAGAACGUUCACUCCUGCAUCCUCAAGCACCCCAAUGCAGCACGUUCUAAAUCUGUUUCCUCCACGAGCACCAUGCAUAUGGGGCUACCCACUCCGUCUCUUAAUCAGGAUGCCUUCGUCAAGAUCUCCAGGCAGCUUCCUGAGGAGGACACCAUGCGGCCACAUACGUCCCUGUGCCCAGGGUCAGAAGCCUGUGCCCUUGACUACAUAAGCUGGCUACCAGCUCUCCACCAUCGUUGGAACUCAUUUCGGGAAAGACAUGAUGAACGCAGACCUCCCCACUGUGCGCGGGAAUCACUGACUGAUUGGAUGGACGUAGAAUGCCAACAGCAUGAUUCAAAUCUGGCAUCUAAAGCCUCGUGGCAUCAGAGAGCCUUGCGGCAUCUUCUGCUAAUGACCAAGUGUGACCCGGAUGUGGACAGGGAGUCACGAACCAGGCAAAGUGCGUCUGAUGUGUUCCGUUCCUCCAACCUCAGGACCCCCAUGAGCUCUGGAAACCUCCCCGGGAGCUGGCCGAGUGAAGGAGAUCGCC
rnacentral:lncRNA from 1 species